GAAGGGAACAGGUGAGUUUGGCUCCCGAUGACUCGACGCCGAAGGCCUUGCAGAUGCUCUGAGAAGACUUGAGCUGUAAGCGGCUUGAGACGCCGACUUUGGUUGGCUGCAUGAAUGUUGCAGCUGCUUGUAAUGAGGCUGCCAUUGUUGUAAGUUUGCGAACCCCAAUUCCCCUCCUGUGUCUGUUGGAUCAGUCUGUUGUGAACUGUGAUUGUAGUGACUACUUGCAGGGAGUUGGGUUGAAGUAGGAAAGGGAUUUGUGUGGUGCAUGGGAAAUACUUGAGUUGAUUGGAGGAAGAUAAACAGAUAGGAUAAGGUGGUGUUCCAUUGGAUGCUCUGAGCUACUUUCUAUGGUGUUGUGCAUUGCCAUGUGGUUCGUAGGACAUGGAAAUUCCUUUGCAACAUAUUUAAUUUUAAUUCAUAAUGUUUUCCUUAUGCAGCAACCAGGUUUUUACUUAAUUUUUUUUUUUUUAAUCAUGCUGUAAAUCUUUUUAUUCAAUAUUUUUGUCUUUGGUCUUGGUUAGAAAAAUUAUUAUAAUCAAGUUGAUGGAAUUAAUUUGGAUACAAAGUGUUCCUUUUUUAUAUGUAUUUAUGGAAUGAAAAUUUAAAUAGUUGAUUUUUGUGUUAGGGAAAUGGAGAGAUUGCAUGGAUAUGUGGUAGAACAUUGUUGGACAGGGAGGGUACUGAAUAUAUUUUUGUGGGAUUCGCUGGGAAUGACAUUGAUCUUUGAGAAAUUAAAGACCGUGUUUGUUUUCAUGGUUACUUUUUUUCCUCCAUAACAGACCGCAUUGCUUGAUAGAAAACAGUUAUUGUAAAUAAAGGUUUGUGAAGUUGUAAUAAUCAAGUAAAUAAAACCUAUAUUUUCAUUUUCUGUUUAGCUGAUAAAAUAAGCUCCAAAAAUAAACAGAUAAAUAUAUAUAAACCACCAACACGAAUAGAAUACCCUCCUAUCCUCCUGUCAAAUAGGGAGGGAAACCAAUCAAUAUGAAAGUCUACC
rnacentral:lncRNA from 1 species